UUAGGUAGGACUUAGUAAGCAGGUUUGCUGAAAACGACGCCUUGAGCGAAGGAGCGCCUGACCCGUUAAACUCGCCGCCGAUGCCUCGCCGCCGGACGCUUGUGUGCAUGGCCGGGGAUGUGCGGUACCCGGUUGCAUGGCGGCGACUACGCAGUUAGAACCCGCACCCGACAAUAAGACUGUACGGAGGCGCAAAAAUGAGCAACGAGGAG
rnacentral:ncRNA from 1 species